GGAAUUCCUAGNGUAGCGGUGAAAUGCGUAGAUAUUNGGAAGAACACCAGUGGCGAAGGCGACUUUCUGGACGAAAACUGACGCUGAGGCGCGAAAGCCAGGGGAGCGAACGGGAUUAGAUACCCCGGUAGUCCUGNCCGUAAACGAUGGGUACUAGGUGUAGGAGGUAUCGACCCNUUCUGUGCCGGAGUUAACGCAAUAAGUACCCCGCCUGGGGAGUACGACCGCAAGGUUGAAACUCAAAGGAAUUGACGGGGGCCCGCACAAGCGGUGGAGUAUGUGGUUUAAUUCGACGCAACGCGAAGAACCUUACCAGGUCUUGACAUUGAUGGACAGAACCAGAGAUGGUUCCUCUUCUUCGGAAGCCAGAAAACAGGUGGUGCACGGUUGUCGUCAGCUCGUGUCGUGAGAUGUUGGGUUAAGNCCCGCAACGAGCGCAACCCCUAUCUUAUGUUGCCAGCACUUUGGGUGGGGACUCAUGAGAGACUGCCGCAGACAAUGCGGAGGAAGGCGGGGAUGACGUCAAAUCAUCAUGCCCCUUAUGACCUGGGCUACACACGUACUACAAUGGGAGUUAAUAGACGGAAGCGAGAUCGCGAGAUGGAGCAAACCCGAGAAACACUCUCUCAGUUCGGAUCGUAGGCUGCAACUNG
rnacentral:rRNA from 1 species